rnacentral:lncRNA from 1 species
AAAUAAAUAAUGAAACUGAAAAUAUAAACAAAAGAUAAUAAAGUAUAUAGAAAAGGUGGAAAUUCUAUUUUAUUUCCUUCUUGGAACCAAAAAAAAUGUCCCACACUAUGACAGAAAAUAACUUAACAAUAUGAUACAGUGUUAGAACAAAAAAAAACAUGUGUGUUCCUUGUCAAGUCCGCAUGUUAAUCAAGCUCGCUCAACUAAGCAGCAAGUUGACGAGUCGAUUGGCACCAACGAUCGUAAGAGGAUUGGAGAUUCGGCCACUCGGAGGACGUGAUCGCGUAGUCGUGGAUCCAGUUCGUCAGGAUGACUUCCUGGUCCAUCCCGGGGAGAGUGGUCAUCACCUCGUCAAUGGCUCUCUCCACCUCCAUCAUCUCGAACGUCGACAGCACCGGGUAAGCCAACCCGUUGUUGGCGUGGCACAGCACCGGCAGCCACACCAUCAGGAGCCUCGACUUCACUUGCCCCGACACUUG